rnacentral:tRNA from 1 species
GGUUCCAUGGUGUAGCGGUCAGCACUCAGGACUCUGAAUCCUGCGACCCGAGUUCGAUUCUCGGUGGGACCU